CAUAUAUAGAAGUUGCCGGUUUCGAUCGGCUAUGGCGAUAAAUGGCCGUUGUAAUAAACCAUUCGGACCCGGGGGCGGUACCCGGCGCCUCCACCAUAUGCCGCUCGGGACCCGAGCGAUUUUCAAAGCGGCAUCUGAUGGGGGCGAAAUAGGAUCGACGAGGGUGUAAAGAGCGCGCUUUUGCCCGGCAUGGUUCCGCCGUUAUCGGGCCGUUUUAUAGUUGCAAACGACAACUAUGCGGAGGCUCGUUUGGCUGCGUAAGCAGUUUGACAGUCUCGAAAAUUAAGUCCUGACCUUUCGCAAGGUCAGGCGCGGUUCGGAGGGCACCGGGCAACAGAAGCCCUCCACUCGU
rnacentral:tmRNA from 1 species